UGAGGAAUGGCUUAACUGGUAGAGUGCUGGACUUGCCUGCCUGAGGUUCUUGGUUCAAUCCCCAGUACUUCAU
rnacentral:tRNA from 1 species